AGUGAACGCUGGCGGUAGGCCUAACACAUGCAAGUCGAACGGCAGCACAGUAAGAGCUUGCUCUUACGGGUGGCGAGUGGCGGACGGGUGAGGAAUACAUCGGAAUCUACUUUUCGUGGGGGAUAACGUAGGGAAACUUACGCUAAUACCGCAUACGACCUACGGGUGAAAGCAGGGGAUCUUCGGACCUUGCGCGAUUGAAUGAGCCGAUGUCGGAUUAGCUAGUUGGCGGGGUAAAGGCCCACCAAGGCGACGAUCCGUAGCUGGUCUGAGAGGAUGAUCAGCCACACUGGAACUGAGACACGGUCCAGACUCCUACGGGAGGCAGCAGUGGGGAAUAUUGGACAAUGGGCGCAAGCCUGAUCCAGCCAUACCGCGUGGGUGAAGAGGGCCUUCGGGUUGUAAAGCCCUUUUGUUGGGAAAGAAAAGCAGCAGGUUAAUACCCCGCUGUUCUGACGGUACCCAAAGAAUAAGCACCGGCUAACUUCGUG
rnacentral:rRNA from 1 species